GCCACUUGUUACACCUGCAGGCAAUGAACUGAUUGGCACUUCCUUGUUUGUGACAGCGUUAAAGACUGAGCCCUGAAGUUAGAUGCAUGAUGGGAAAUGCAAUGAGCUGCUUGUCAGGGAAGAGACAAUUCACGGGAGAGGCCCCGCGAAAGCUGUAUACAUUCCCAAUUUACUCGCAUCUCUGCGGUUUUUAAGAGUUUGAAAAGACCAGACAAAGCUGCUGAACAGAAGGAAAUCAAAGCGCAUUUGGUUGGACCGUUAAGACGUGUGAAAUUGUCUCGCCUGUCAUUUGAACAGAGUCCAGGAGAAGUUUCAAGGUUGCUGAAUUCUUCCUUGAAUCUCUUAAAUGCAACUGCUCAGUGGAUAUCAGUUGCCGAAAUUCUGAGAAAUGUUUGAUGGAAAAACAUUUCAUAUGAUAUUUAGGCUGUCUAUACAGCAUUUUAAAGUUCAA